ACUGGGCGUUGGGCAUGCACCUGUGUUCCCAGCUACUUGGGAGGCUGAGGCAGGAGGAUCACUUGAACCUAGGUGUUCCAAGGCCAAUCUAGGCAACAUAGUGAGACCCUAUCUUCA
rnacentral:sRNA from 1 species